rnacentral:rRNA from 1 species
AUUGAACGCAGGCGGCAUGCCUUACACAUGCAAGGCGAACGGUAACAGGUCUUCGGAUGCUGACGAGUGGCGAACGGGUGAGUAAUACAUCGGAACGUGCCUAGUAGUGGGGGAUAACUACUCGAAAGAGUGGCUAAUACCGCAUGAGAUCUACGGAUGAAAGCAGGGGAUCGCAAGACCUUGUGCUACUAGAGCGGCCGAUGGCAGAUUAGGUGGUUGGUGGGAUAAAAGCUUACCAAGCCGACGAUCUGUAGCUGGUCUGAGAGGACGAUCAGCCACACUGGGACUGAGACACGGCCCAGACUCCUACGGGAGGCAGCAGUGGGGAAUUUUGGACAAUGGGCGAAAGCCUGAUCCAGCAAUGCCGCGUGCAGGAUGAAGGCCUUCGGGUUGUAAACUGCUUUUGUACGGAACGAAAAGCCCCGGGUUAAUACCCUGGGGUCAUGACGGUACCGUAAGAAUAAGCACCGGCUAACUACGUGCCAGCCGCCGCAGUAA